rnacentral:rRNA from 1 species
UAGCGGGGAGCGAAGCGGGAAGAGCUCAAAUUUGUAAUCUGGCACCUUCGGUGUCCGAGUUGUAAUCUCUAGAAGUGUUUUCCGCGUUGGACCGCACACAAGUCUGUUGGAAUACAGCGGCAUAGUGGUGAUACCCCAUUACACGGUGCGGACGCCCAGCGCUUUGUGAUACACUUUCGACGAGUCGAGUUGUUUGGGAAUGCAGCUCAAAUUGGGUGGUAAAUUCCAUCUAAAGCUAAAUAUUGGCGAGAGACCGAUAGCGAACAAGUACCGUGAGGGAAAGAUGAAAAGCACUUUGGAAAGAGAGUUAAAAGUACGUGAAAUUGUUGGAAGGGAAACGCUUGAAGUCAGACUUGCUUGCCGGGCUUGCUCGGUUUGCAGGCCAGCAUCAGUUUUCCGGGGCGGAUAAUGGCAGUUAGAAGGUAGCAGUCUCGGCUGUGUUAUAGCUUUCUGCUGGAUACGUCCUGGGGGACUGAGGAACGCAGCGUGCCGUAUGGCGAGGGCUUCGGCCCUUUCACGCU